GGGGGCAGCUCCGCCCCUCUCCCGGAUGGCUGUAUUAACGCAGCGCGCAGCGGCUCGGUCUUUCGGUCCCGGCCUUGGUGGCCGAUCCACCCGAGCCGGUCCCCACUGCCCAGCCGUGCUGCUGCCUCGGACACAAGCGCAGGUUGAAAACUACAAGAAACCCGUGACUGAAUGGCUCCAAGGUGAAGUACUCUUGCAUGUAGUGACCAGGUUUGCCUGUAUUCCACUUUAGGAUUAGUAUCGAAGCUGAAAUAGGUGAAGUGAGGGCCAUGUGAGUUUCCUUGAAUGGCCUUGUAACUGAUUACCCUGAAGGUAGUUUGCUAAAGAUUUUAAUCAAUGUACUAGGAUCCUGCCCCACCCCUUCUUCAUGUCCCACUGCCCUAGAAUCAGAUCUGCAUGGCUAUGACAUGCUCGCCGUUUUAAAGAUGCAAAGAUUUCAUGCUAGAUCAUUAGAAUGUAUCUGGACUUCGUUAGGACAAGUUCUUUGCUAGUAACCAGUCACGUGCUAGCAAUUGAGGUGUGUUAACCUGUAUAUUGUUGCCUAUGAGUAAUUUUCCAUAAUCUUUAAUAAAGGCUUCCUGUGUCAAUUCUA
rnacentral:lncRNA from 1 species